UCCUAAGUAAACUAAAUAUAAACAAACAAACAUACAUGAUUAACUCCCUCUAAAAUGGGAGUUUUCAAUACCAACAGAAUCUAAUAGCAAUCAUUAUCAGGAAAUUUACCCUGAACAGACUGGACAUCACAGAAACAGAGUCAAACUGGUCAGUAAAAACUCUCCAGGAAACCUCUCUCUACUCCUAUCAGACCUGACUGAAGAGGACCAGGGAAACUACAGAUGUUCUGUACAGGCAGAGAGAAAAGAUUUCAGACUAAAUGUUAAAGUCUUAAGACCUACAUCAGAACAGCCUCAGAAUACAACAAACUCUCCAUCUGCAUCACCCUCAACAACACUGGAACAAGUAUUCGUUUUUAUGGCUGUUUUUCUUUUGGUCAUAGUCGGAGUAGUGGCCUUUAUUUGUCGGAGAUACAAAGGAGGACAAUGUGAAGAGAAGGUGACUACUGAAGGAUGUCUGGACUAUAAGCUGGAGAAUCAGGUUAUGUCUGAUGCCACUUUAUUUACUACUGUCAUUUACACCUGCUACUCUACUGACCCACAUUAACGCAGCCGGAGCAACACGGGUCCAGAUGAUCACUGGAGAGCAUCAUUACAAACUAAUCCAAUGGAAAUAUAGACACAUUCUCAGAUAUUAUAGAAUUAUGUUGAAAACAUAUAUUAAAUAUACACCAUGGUCAAGCAUGGGAUUCGCAAUAUUUACGAUUUUUAUACAUUUUAAAAUAAUAUAGCUGAUUCUGUUGUUCUGCAUUCGAUUUUAAUCUGUACAAAAAUUGCUGAUAAAUAAUUUUGCUAAUUAUAUUUUAAUAGUCUUUGUCAUUUUGUAUCUGAUGUGUAACAUUGUUAUAUCAGGUUAAGAAACAAUUGCUCUAGAAAAGCUUUUGCCAUCAUGCUGUUGUGUAAGAAGACUGCUAUAGAAGUUCCUCUUCUUGUCUUUUAAAGAUCUUGGGUAAAAAAGAGGAUUAUUGAAUUUUACUGGACUAAAUGUGUAUUUCUAACCUAGAAAUUAUGCAUAAUGUCUUUAUAAUUUGUUAUAAAUGUGUUAAAAAUGAAUACAUUAUUGAUGGAAAAAAAAUAAAGGAUAAAAAAGUAAAUUAAUGGAAGAUAAACAUCACAGUAAAUUGUCCUGUUUACUUCAGCAGAAUGUUAGUUAUAAAGGACUUUUAACAGAAAACAUUCUCAAAUACAGCUUUACAACUUUACCCAAAAGUUGUAAAGAGUAAGCGUGGCUAUGUGAAGGAAUAUAAUAUUAUCCUGUUCAUGAAUUAGAGACACUAGGCCUUCUUUCUUUUUUUCUGCAGAAAUCUGGACAUAGCUUUAUCAUAUAUAUGGUUAUAUGUAUUAUAUAAUAGUAGUGAUUUGUGUGUGUGUGUGUGUGUGAGAUGGAAAGCCCUUGUUAAAUGAGGAACAGGAAUGCAACAGCUUUGUUAGCCCUUGUUAACUUUAUUAACCCUUGUUAGAUUUGCUAGCCUUUGUUGGCCCUUCUAGCCUUGUUAACCUUUGUUGACCUUGCUAAUUUGUGUUAGCUGUUGUGUUUGUUUGUUCUCCUUGUUAAUUGUUGUCCCUUUUGGCCUUGCUAGCCACUCCCUUUAACCUUAGCUCAUUUGGUUUGAGAACAGGCAAGACUGUACGUGCCCCUACAUUGCACCACGUAGGAAUUUGAUUGUACAGACACCUGAAGUAAUGGGGCAGGUGCCACCCACUUUUAGCCUAGUUUAGUUUAGCCUAGGGUAGCCAGUUAGUUUUCUUUGCUGUUGUUAGUUAGAUUAGUCAACUAAAACAGAGCCUUUUUUUUUUUUUUUGGCACUGCCCAUGUUGUCCUACAAUUGUGAGACUAGC